rnacentral:rRNA from 1 species
GUGGGGAAUAUUGGACAAUGGGCGCAAGCCUGAUCCAGCAACGCCGCGUGAGGGAUGACGGCCUUCGGGUUGUAAACCUCUUUCAGCAGGGACGAAGCGAAAGUGACGGUACCUGCAGAAGAAGGACCGGCCAACUACGUGCCAGCAGCCGCGGUAAUACGUAGGGUCCGAGCGUUGUCCGGAAUUAUUGGGCGUAAAGGGCUCGUAGGCGGUCUGUCGCGUCGGGAGUGAAAACUCAGGGCUCAACCCUGAGCGUGCUUCCGAUACGGGCAGACUAGAGGUAUGCAGGGGAGAACGGAAUUCCUGGUGUAGCGGUGGAAUGCGCAGAUAUCAGGAGGAACACCGGUGGCGAAGGCGGUUCUCUGGGCAUUACCUGACGCUGAGGAGCGAAAGCAUGGGGAGCGAACAGGAUUAGAUACCCGAGUAGUCC